CAGCCCACUUGCAACUAAACCCCAGAAUCGUUUCCUUCUUUCUUCUCCUCCAAUCCACGAUCCCCUCCGGGGCUUCUCAACCCGAGACGCUUCUGGAAUCUUCUAGAACCUCCUCCACGCGGAUCUCUCACCCGUACGUGAUAGAAGGCUUGAGUCUCCACAGCCCGACCCGGCCUCCCUCCAUUGCGCGCCGCCGCGCCGCGUAGUCCGCCUGCCGUCCAUGGGCCGGUUCGGGUGGCUCCGGCUCGCGUCGAGAUCCCUCGCGCUCCGCUCCAGCGAGGUGGCUGCGCAGAGGAGCACAUGGAUUCGACCGAAUACACCUUGCAGCUCUACUGGCAUCUAUAUUGGUGAUAGGUGCUAUGGACGAUUCAUGUUGACAUCAUUUGUGUUGAGCAGGUUCUUUCAUGCUACAGGUCACUGUUGUUCGAUACACAAAGACUAUUACAAGAUUCUUGGUGUUCCUAAAGAUGCAUCGCAGGAUGACAUCAAGAAGGCUUUUCAUUCUCUUGCAAAAAAGUACCAUCCAGACACAAAUAGAGGCAAUACUGCUGCAAAAAGGAUGUUUCAAGAAAUAAGAGAUGCAUACGAGACGUUACGGGAUCCCUCAAAGAGAGAGCAAUAUGACAUGCUAUUUUCAAGAGGGUCAAGGGGGGAGUUUGAUGGGUCCUCUCAUCAGAACAGUGACCCUUUCACAGAAUUCUACAGACAGAAUGAUGGUCCUUUCUCUAGUAAAUUCUAUAAAAUAUUCUCUGAGGUUUUCCAGCAUGACGUAAAUAUACAUGCACAUGAUGUUGAGGUAGAGAUGAAUCUAUCUUUUAGCGAAGCUGCUAAUGGAUGCAUAAAGCAAGUGUCCUUCAGCGCAAAAAAUGUUUGUGAUUCAUGUGAUGGGAGAGGUUACUUGGCGAAUGCAAAGAGAUAUGUUUGUCCCUCAUGUAAAGGUUUAGGAAGAGUCACUAUGUACCCAUUCACAUCCAUUUGUAGUUCUUGCAGAGGUGUCGGGAAAGUAAUUAAGGAUUACUGCUUGGCAUGCAAAGGUUCAGGGGUGGUAGAUGGUAUGAAAUAUGUAAAUGUGACUAUUCCAGCAGGAGUCGAUUCUGGUGAUACAAUUCAUGUACCGGAGGCUGGAAAUAGUGGUGGACUUGGUGCCCAACCUGGAAGUCUAUACAUAAAACUUCAAGUAGCAAUUGAUCCGGUGUUUGUUCGAGAUGGUGCUGACAUCCAUGUCGAGAAAAGGAUAAGCUUCACACAGGCAAUCCUUGGUGGAAAAGUUGAAGUGCCUACUCUAAACGGGAAAACAGAAGUGAAGAUACCCAAAGGAGUCCAAUCAGGACAAGUUCUAGUUUUAAGGGGGAAAGGAUUGCCAAAUCUGGCAGGAUACUCCGGGGACCAAUAUGUCCGAUUCCGAAUCCAUUUCCCCUCGGUGGUUACUGAACGUCAGCGUGCACUGUUGGAAGAAUUUGCAGUAGAGGAAGCUACAAAAGAACAAAAUACUUCUGUAGCAGGAAACUGGUUUCUGCAUGAUACCUGCAGCAGGGAACAGAAUCUCUAGCGAGAACCAGUUUUCUCCGUGGCAUCUGAGAGUUGUGUGAACUUCGGUUUGAAUUUCAGAAUAAAAGGGGUCAUAACCUUCAGCAAAACAGAAUUAGUUCCUGCCGGCAGUUGUAAGGUGGGAGCUAGUUGCAGAAAAUAUAACGGCUCAAAAUCUCAUGAUCGGAGUUGGCAUCCUCCUCCUGAUUCACCUGAUACUGAACAAGGCUGUGAGCUAAGGCUUUGAAGCUGCACUAUGUUGGGGCUGUGGGGCGAUAUCAAGCACUAAAAACUCUAUGGAGAUUGAGCUUAACACAAAAAUACUAAGGGUCACGAUUCUUUAAAGAUUUUUUCACCCAUGAGAAAUCACAAUGUUGAAGAAGGCGUGGACUAGAGGUCGCUGGUUUCUAUGGGAAAGAUAGUCAUACCGAAUAAUAUUUGGAUCUCAUUACAUAGUUAGGAGCCGUCUGAAGUUUUGUUUUCGAUAAUUCAACGUGUUGCCUAAAUACUAUUGCGGUGGCUUCUCUUCACCAGUGUAACAUGGAUGUUUUUUUCUGAGGAAAGUAACAUGGAUGCUUGACAAUGGUAAUAGUUCAAUGCUUGCAACCAUGCUGGGUGAAAUUGAGUGGAAAUUUCCUUGUAAA